rnacentral:rRNA from 1 species
AUUGAACGCUGGCGGCAUGCCUUACACAUGCAAGUCGAACGGUAACAGGUCUUCGGAUGCUGACGAGUGGCGAACGGGUGAGUAAUACAUCGGAACGUGCCCGAUCGUGGGGGAUAACGGAGCGAAAGCUUUGCUAAUACCGCAUACGAUCUACGGAUGAAAGCAGGGGACCGCAAGGCCUUGCGCGGACGGAGCGGCCGAUGGCAGAUUAGGUAGUUGGUGGGAUAAAAGCUUACCAAGCCGACGAUCUGUAGCUGGUCUGAGAGGACGACCAGCCACACUGGGACUGAGACACGGCCCAGACUCCUACGGGAGGCAGCAGUGGGGAAUUUUGGAGAAUGGGCGAAAGCCUGAUCCAGCCAUGCCGCGUGCAGGAUGAAGGCCUUCGGGUUGUAAACUGCUUUUGUACGGAACGAAAAGCCUCUUUCUAAUAAAGAGAGGUCAUGACGGUACCGUAAGAAUAAGCACCGGCUAACUACGUGCCAGCCGCCGCUGUAA